GAUGAACGCUGGCGGCGUGCCUAAUACAUGCAAGUCGAGCGAACGGACGAGAAGCUUUCUUCUCUGAUGUUAGCGGCUGACGGGUGAGUAACACGUGGAUAACCUACCUAUAAGACUGGGAUAACUUCGGGAAACCGGAGCUAAUACCGGCUAAUAUUUUGAACCGCAUGGUUCAAAAGUGAAAGACGGUCUUGCUGUCACUUAUAGAUGGAUCCGCGCUGCAUUAGCUAGUUGGUAAGGUAACGGCUUACCAAGGCAACGAUGCAUAGCCGACCUGAGAGGAUGAUCGGCCACACUGGAACUGAGACACGGUCCAGACUCCUACGGGAGGCAGCAGUAGGGAAUCUUCCGCAAUGGGCGAAAGCCUGACGGAGCAACGCCGCGUGAGUGAUGAAGGUCUUCGGAUCGUAAAACUCUGUUAUUAGGGAAGAACAUAUGUGUAAGUAACUGUGCACAUCUUGACGGUACCUAAUCAGAAAGCCACGGCUAACUACGUG
rnacentral:rRNA from 1 species